rnacentral:rRNA from 1 species
AGAGUUUGAUCCUGGCUCAGAACGAACGCUGGCGGCAGGCCUAACACAUGCAAGUCGAACGCUCGUAGCAAUACGAGAGUGGCAGACGGGUGAGUAACACGUGGGAACCUUCCCUAUGGUUCGGAAUAGCUCAGGGAAACUUGAGGUAAUACCGGAUAAGCCCUUACGGGGAAAGAUUUAUCGCCAUUGGAUGGGCCCGCGUCGGAUUAGCUAGUUGGUGAGGUAACGGCUCACCAAGGCGACGAUCCGUAGCUGGUCUGAGAGGAUGAUCAGCCGCACUGGGACUGAGACACGGCCCAGACUCCUACGGGAGGCAGCAGUGGGGAAUAUUGGACAAUGGGCGCAAGCCUGAUCCAGCCAUGCCGCGUGAGUGACGAAGGCCUUAGGGUUGUAAAGCUCUUUUGGCGGGGAAGAUAAUGACGGUACCCGCAGAAUAAGCUCCGGCUAACUUCGUGCCAGCAGCCGCGGUA